AGCUGUUCUUCCAAAGUUGGUUCCCCCGUGAUACAUAUAAUAAUUCACCAAAGAGCCACCUUUUUGAAUGAACCGAGCUACUGCAAAGGCCAAAUCUUCAACUGGUCGAUGAUGAACUGGACCGCCAAAAUCAUCAAACCAGCCACUCCAUGCCUCUGUCCAUAUUGUUGGCUUGUUAGGUUUGUUAGGGGAAAAAUAAUCACAAUAAAAACCAUUGCAGGUGUUUAUCACUGGAUCAGGGGCAUCAUCCUCCUUGCACAUGACCCACGGGACCCCAGUACCCAUUUCAACAGCCAUUUUAGCUGCCCAAGUCAUGUAUGCAUGACCUGGAGCACCAUAUUGUUUUAUUUCUAACCCAUACUCGUUCUCAAUCUGAGACAGAAUGAUAGGACCACCUUGGGUCUGAAAUAGCUUCUCAUUCUUCAUCAUUUGGACAAUUUUCGUGGUGAAUCUUUGCAUUUCCCUCUUGAAAGGUUCAUUAUUGGUUCUAAAGCUGAUUCCAGGAACAUACUUCAACCAUACAGGAAAACCACCAAAAUUCCACUCUCCACAAAUAUAAGGCCCAAUUCGAAGAUGCAUAUAAAGCCCUGCCUUCUGAAUCAGCUUUAUGAAUCGAACUAAAUCAUUACGCCCCUCAAAGUUGUAAUUGCCAGGUGAAGGUUCAUGAAGAUUCCAAAACACAUAGGUUUCUAUAACAUCCAAUCCUCCAUCUUUUGAUUUCUGUAUAAGGUCUGGCCAC
rnacentral:misc_RNA from 1 species